rnacentral:rRNA from 1 species
UAGAGUUUGAUCCUGGCUCAGAUUGAACGCUGGCGGCAUGCCUUACACAUGCAAGUCGAACGGCAGCACGGGGGCAACCCUGGUGGCGAGUGGCGAACGGGUGAGUAAUACAUCGGAACGUGUCCUGUAGUGGGGGAUAGCCCGGCGAAAGCCGGAUUAAUACCGCAUACGCUCUACGGAGGAAAGGGGGGGAUCUUAGGACCUCCCGCUACAGGGGCGGCCGAUGGCAGAUUAGCUAGUUGGUGGGGUAAGGGCCUACCAAGGCGACGAUCUGUAGCUGGUUUGAGAGGACGACCAGCCACACUGGGACUGAGACACGGCCCAGACUCCUACGGGAGGCAGCAGUGGGGAAUUUUGGACAAUGGGGGCAACCCUGAUCCAGCAAUGCCGCGUGUGUGAAGAAGGCCUUCGGGUUGUAAAGCACUUUUGUCCGGAAAGAAAACGUCGUGGUUAAUACCCGUGGCGGCUGACGGUACCGGAAGAAUAAGCACCGGCUAACUACGUGCCAGCAACCGCGGUAAUACGUAGGGUGCAAGCGUUAAUCGGAAUUACUGGGCGUAAAGCGUGCGCAGGCGGUCCGCUAAGACAGAUGUGAAAUCCCCGGGCUUAACCUGGGAACUGCAUUUGUGACUGGCGGGCUAGAGUAUGGCAGAGGGGGGUAGAAUUCCACGUGUAGCAGUGAAAUGCGUAGAGAUGUGGAGGAAUACCGAUGGCGAAGGCAGCCCCCUGGGCCAAUACUGACGCUCAUGCACGAAAGCGUGGGGAGCAAACAGGAUUAGAUACCCUGGUAGUCCACGCCCUAAACGAUGUCAACUAGUUGUCGGGUCUUCAUUGACUUGGUAACGUAGCUAACGCGUGAAGUUGACCGCCUGGGGAGUACGGUCGCAAGAUUAAAACUCAAAGGAAUUGACGGGGACCCGCACAAGCGGUGGAUGAUGUGGAUUAUUUCGAUGCAACGCGAAAAACCUCACCUACCCUUGACAUGUAUGGAAUCUUGUUGAGAGGUGGGAGUGCCCGAAA